GUUGUAUGGUUAAGUGACUAAGCGUACACGGUGGAUGCCUUGGCAGUCAGAGGCGAUGAAGGACGUAGUAACUUGCGAUAAGCGUAGAUGAGGCAGUAACAGCCACUUGAGUCUACGAUUUCCGAAUGGGGAAACCCACUGGCAUAAGCCAGUAUCAUUGAGUGAAUACAUAGCUCAAUGAAGCGAACCGGGAGAACUGAAACAUCUAAGUACCCCGAGGAAAAGAAAUCAACCGAGAUUCCGAAAGUAGCGGCGAGCGAAAUUGGAUUAGCCCUUAAGCUUUACAUGUGUUAGACGAACGGUCUGGAAAGUCCGACGAUACAGGGUGAUAGUCCCGUAGUUGUAGAUGCAUGUUCAGUGAAAUCGAGUAGGGCGGGACACGUGUUAUCCUGUCUGAAUAUGGGGGGACCAUCCUCCAAGGCUAAAUACUCCUGACUGACCGAUAGUGAACCAGUACCGUGAGGGAAAGGCGAAAAGAACCCCUGUGAGGGGAGUGAAAUAGAACCUGAAACCGUGUACGUACAAGCAGUAGGAGCACCUUCGUGGUGUGACUGCGUACCUUUUGUAUAAUGGGUCAGCGACUUAUAUUCAGUGGCAAGGUUAACCAUCUAGGGGAGCCGUAGGGAAACCGAGUCUUAACUGGGCGCCAUAGUCUCUGGAUAUAGACCCGAAACCGAGUGAUCUAGCCAUGGGCAGGUUGAAGGUUGAGUAACAUCAACUGGAGGACCGAACCGACUAAUGUUGAAAAAUUAGCGGAUGACUUGUGGCUAGGGGUGAAAGGCCAAUCAAACUCGGAGAUAGCUGGUUCUCCCCGAAAGCUAUUUAGGUAGCGCCUCGGACGAAUACUACUGGGGGUAGAGCACUGUUAAGGCUAGGGGGUCAUCCCGACUUACCAACCCUUUGCAAACUCCGAAUACCAGUAAGUACUAUCCGGGAGACACACGGCGGGUGCUAACGUCCGUCGUGGAGAGGGAAACAACCCAGACCGCCAGCUAAGGUCCCAAAUUACAGCUAAGUGGGAAACGAUGUGGGAAGGCUUAGACAGCUAGGAUGUUGGCUUAGAAGCAGCCAUCAUUUAAAGAAAGCGUAAUAGCUCACUAGUCGAGUCGGCCUGCGCGGAAGAUGUAACGGGGCUAAGUUGUAAACCGAAGCUGCGGCAAUGUUCUUUGAACAUUGGGUAGGGGAGCGUUCUGUAAGCCGUUGAAGGUGUGUUGUAAAGCAUGCUGGAGGUAUCAGAAGUGCGAAUGCUGACAUGAGUAACGACAAGGGGGGUGAAAAACCUCCCCGCCGGAAGACCAAGGGUUCCUGUCCAACGUUAAUCGGGGCAGGGUAAGUCGACCCCUAAGGCGAGGCCGAAAGGCGUAGUCGAUGGGAAACGGGUUAAUAUUCCCGUACUUCUUACAAUUGCGAUGGGGGGACGGAGAAGGCUAGGUGGGCCUGGCGACGGUUGUCC
rnacentral:rRNA from 1 species